UGCUCUGACAUCAACUAUGACAGAUUUGUCCUGUACAAGUUAGGGGGAGCUGACUUGUCACAUGGCAGUGCCCCCGUGAAGCUCACUGUCUCAGGAUCCAUUGGAGUAUCCAGCCUGUCACCCUCAAGGCCCAUGCCAACAGAUGCCUCAGAGAUCCAGGAUCACACAGUGGAGAAUCUCAUCAGGAUGGGAUUUGCUGUCAUGAUCCUCACAGUCCUUGGGAUUCUGGUCAUUAAGGAUUGGGUCAGCCAGAAGCAGGCCCAACGUGCAGCUGAGAAGUAAUCAGAGAAGAAUGAAGUACAUCUCUCAAGGUUCCAGAGUCUAGGAAAUAAAUGUGAUGAUCCCAAGAAUUCUGUAAGAAAAUCCAGUUCUUAAACUAAGGAACUAGAGAGAUUAUGUCCAGGGAGCAAAUGUGAUUUAGGUGCAGAAAUAUCCUUGGGUGUGAUGAGAUCCUUCCUCAGCAAAUGAGUUUACAUCCCUCAACCUACUGUGGGUGUUUGCUGAAUGAACCAUCACCUUUAUUGAUCUAUAUAGUGUGGGAAUAUUCUGUGCCAUCUGCCUGGCUUUGGUCCUCAUUUCUGUACAUUUCCCACCCUCCCCAUGUGUCAUUUUCCAUUUUAAUAAAUUGUCACAUUCUCUGUGGCAGAAGCAUCUCUCUAUUGAACUAGAAAUAGAAAAUGUACCCCAAUAACAAAAAAGACAAGUAAAGUUGGAGCUCAGAAUUCAAAGUCACUCUGCCUAU